rnacentral:misc_RNA from 1 species
UUAGUGAGUAAUGUCGAUAUAUUUAAUCAAAUAUCGCUUUAAUUUUCACCAAUCACAAAAUAGUACAGUACAACGCGGAAUUUGCGAUUGGUUCCAUCGUGGAUCAAUUAAAUUUGCGAUUAUGCGCAGAAUAUAUUAACGUGCGCUCUUCGUUGUACUAAAUUUAGUCAUCGAAGGUCCAUUAAAAGUACUUGACAUAAAAUGUUAUGUAGGUAUUGAGUUUUAAAUUAUUGCAUAAAUAUUUGUGCAUUUGUCAUAAAUAAAUACAUUGUUAUAUUUAAUGUUUUAAAUUUGCUUAAUCAUUACAUCGACAAUCGCGUCACUCGAUAAAUCGUAUUCGACAAUCGAUUUGUGUCUUCGUUUCAUAGGAACUCAUCGCUCAGUGACAUUUCAAUUACGUUUUGUGGUUGUUGCUUACUUUUGUAAUACAUACACAUAUAGUAUUUAAUCAACUUGUACGAAUGCAGUAAAAAAAUGAGUUAUAAUAAAUAAAUAACAAUUUAAUAUAUUGCAGUAAGUGUGUAUUCUCAUGAUUAAUUCGUGUUUUAUUGACGUAAUACAACUCAAGGUUUAAAAUGUAUAUCAAGACGGUUUAAACAAUAGAUAAGUGCAAGAAGAUGAAAUAAGGUAAUCGCUGCAUAAAUUUAAGACAAGAGGCUAAAGUUUUGUCCUUCACACAUCAGAACAUCGUUAUCUAUGCACGUAAACGAUUGGUUUAGUUAGAGGUGAUUAUGAAGUAACUAAAAUAGUGCAUGUAAGUACGCAGCGAGCACAUCUAGUUUAAACAUCGUUUCAACAAAGACGUGUACAUACUAAUUUAAGCUAUACUCUCUUCGCUGGUGGUGGGUUUCUCGCUUGCUACUGCAUUCUUAUCACAUUUUAUCAGGUAACGUAAAUAAUGUAAUUACUAAUGGGUGAUAACACACGCUAGUUUCUCAUAAUGGCUAAUGUUAAGAGUAGAGUUAAUACGACUAAAGCUGCAUCUACAAAGAUUAACACAAAGGGGAAGGUUGGCAGGCCCAGAAAAUCUUUAACAAAUGUACAAAAUGUGACAGGAAAAGAAGUUGUACAAAGACAACGAAGAGGUAAAGUAAAGAAAAAGCCGGAAAAAAAGGUAACUAUAUGUAGAUUGAAUACAACACAGGAGGAGAAUAAAUCCAAUGAAUAUAAAAAACCAAGCCUUAAAAAGUUAUUGACUACUAGUGGCCGCAUAAGACAAAAAACAAAGAUUGGUAUAAAGCUCUUUAAUGAGCUUCUAAAGAAUGAACUUCAGAUUAAAGCCAGUGACUUAUUACCGAAAAAAGAAGUGUACAAAAAUACAAGGCUAAAUAAUAAUGAAACAAAAGUAAGAAAAAGAUCGAAAGCAGGUAACCAAAAAGGAAAUAACCAAAAUAAUAGGCAGAGUGAUAGUAGUGAAAAAAGUAAAGCUAACGUUGAGCCUGGCCAGGAUCUCAAUAGUGAAACAUCAACUCCUCUUAAAGUUUUCCAAUGUGAUCAUUGCAAUAAAAAAUUUAAAACUAAACCUGCAAUAAAAAGACACCUUUCCAUUCAUGAUAAGCUGACAUCAUAUUCUUGUUCCCAAUGCAACAAAUACUUCAGCAAUCAUAUAUAUCUAGCAGCCCAUGCUAAAAGACAACAUCCAAACUGGAACAUACAUUUUAUGUGUAAUAUAUGUGAUAAAGCAUUUUUACUUAAAUCAAAUUUAAAGCACCAUUUGGCUUGUCAUAGCCGUAAUGAAAAAAUGUUCAAGUGUAUUUAUUGCAAGGAGAAAUAUUAUGAGCAACAUUCCCUUAUUGAACAUGAGAAACAGCAUUUGGUAGAUGGAAAAUAUCUAUGCAUUGUUUGUGAAAUGGGAUUUGACUGUAGGAACCGGCUCACCAGUCAUUAUAGAGUACAUUUGAAAGUGAAAGAUUUCAUGUGUCAACAUUGUGGCAAAGAGUUUCUUAGAAUGAACUCGGUGAGACGUCAUGUCCAAAUAUGUCAUUCAGGACACAGGAUACAGUGUAAAAUAUGUAAAAAAUAUUUGAAGGGUCAUUUAGCUGAGCAUAUGCGCACGCAUGAAAAGAAUCGCCCGCAUGAAUGCCCUGAUUGUGGACAACGUUUCACACAGUCAACGCAAUUAACUGUUCAUCGUCGGUCACAUAGUGGAACCCGUCCUUACACUUGUAGAAUAUGCAAGAGACCAUUUACACACUCAAAUGCCUUGAUGUUACAUAUACGUCGGCACACAGGUGAAAAGCCAUUUGCCUGUGCCAUGUGUCCAUUGAAUUUUUCUCAACUCCCACACAUGAAAGCACACAUGCGAAACAUUCAUGGCAAAGAAAACCCAUAUAGAUGUCAAAAAUGUAAACAAUUCUUUAAAUUGAAGGCUGAUUUAGCAGAUCACACAAAAAAUUGCAAUACAGAUCAAAAAAGUGCAAAGUCAUCACAGAAGGGCGAAUCAGAAGAGGAAUCUGCCACUAGGCUGACUCGCAUGAGGUUUCUACUAGCUCUUCUUCUAACAAUGAUUGCGACUAAAGAAAAACUGAAAUAUCUAGGUGCGUAAAUUUACUAUUUUUUUAAUUUAUUCCACAAAAUGGAUUGCACUAUUUGUCUUUGAGUUAGUGUGAAAACUGCUUCCUGUGUGUGCGCCAAUAACAGGAAUCAUAGUAUACAUUUUCAUAUAAAUUUCCAUUGUAUUUAAAAUUUUGAAGGCACAUACUUCAAAUAUCAGUAAUAAACAUUUAUUUUAAACAGUCAGUGGGUGAAUACCAUUAAAAGCAUUCAUUAAAUUGAAAUAUUACAUUAUAUAUUGUAUUGUAACAAUCUAUAUGCACAACAUACAAUACAUUGAAAUCAUUUAAAUAUACACAAAAGUAUAGACACCAAAUUCCUGAUGGGUUGCGAUUGUGUGAGUGUUUUUGUGUUGAUGUGUGCUUAGGUUGAAUUUGAGUGAGUCAGCACUACAUUACAUGGCUUGAACUACACAGAUUUAAUUUAGACAACAUAAUUCUUGAGCCAGGACGCAGCUGAACCCCCAAAUGAAAUGGGUAAUGUUUCAACAAACGCUUGAUUGAUGAAUUACUUGUGGAGUCCCUUGAAGCCAUGGGGCAUAAACCAUGCAAAGAUUUUGCUUUAACGCCUUUCAAUCGCCUCAAGACUAAUAUCGAAAUACUACUUGAAGGAACUGUGCC